rnacentral:tRNA from 1 species
GAGGGUAUAGCUCAAGUGGUAGAGCACAUGCUUAGCAUACACGAGAUCCUGGGUUCAAACCCCAGUAACUCCU